rnacentral:lncRNA from 1 species
AAUGUUCCUUGACAUUGAGAUCAUGAUAGUGGUGGAUUCCUUCAAGGUACCUUGCAGACUGGACAAGUGCUGCACGGCGAGCUUCUUCGAGGCUGUCUAAGUCUAGACACCUUGUUUCUUCUGCUGCACCUUUCUCGAACUGCUCGGCUGUUAGGGAUUUCCACGUGGCGUUGGUAGGUAGGAUAGCUUCGGAUCUGUAGACCAAAAAAAGGGCAAUUGCCCCGUAGGCUUGCACGGCUGGGUACCAAG